ACGAACGCUGGCGGCGUGCUUAACACAUGCAAGUCGAACGGAAAGGCCCUGCUUUUGUGGGGUGCUCGAGUGGCGAACGGGUGAGUAACACGUGAGUAACCUGCCCUUGACUUUGGGAUAACUUCAGGAAACUGGGGCUAAUACCGGAUAGGAGCUCCUGCUGCAUGGUGGGGGUUGGAAAGUUUCGGCGGUUGGGGAUGGACUCGCGGCUUAUCAGCUUGUUGGUGGGGUAGUGCUUACCAAGGCUUUGACGGGUAGCCGGCCUGAGAGGGUGACCGGCCACAUUGGGACUGAGAUACGGCCCAGACUCCUACGGGAGGCAGCAGUGGGGAAUAUUGCACAAUGGGCGGAAGCCUGAUGCAGCAACGCCGCGUGCGGGAUGACGGCCUUCGGGUUGUAAACCGCUUUCGCCUGUGACGAAGCGUGAGUGACGGUAAUGGGUAAAGAAGCACCGGCUAACUACGUG
rnacentral:rRNA from 1 species